rnacentral:pre_miRNA from 1 species
GUUUGUGUGUGGAAAGUGUUCAGCACCAAGGACAGGUGUGUUUUGUGUGGAAGGUGUUCAGCACCGAGGACAGGUGUGUUUUGUG